rnacentral:tmRNA from 1 species
GGGGCUGACUGGAUUUGACAGCGGGUAGAAGUGGUGUGUAAGCAUGCAGAGCGUCGUUGCCUUGCUCUAUAAUCUCAGACAUCGAAAAUUUAAUUGGCGAAAAUAACUACGCUCUUGCUGCCUAAUUGAAGUACAGUAGAUUAGCUUAAUCUCUGCAACAGUUGCGGAGACAAGACAUCACCCGAUGGCUGUGGUUCCGAAGCAUGUCGAACCGGUGGUGCAGGAAUAUCGGAAAUAGUCGAACGUAAGUUCCGGACUUUCGGCGAAAUUUAGGAACUAAGGUAUGAAUUGGUAGCUUCGGUCUUGUUCAUACCCUACAAUCGAAGCGAAGAUAAGCAUGUAGAAAGCUCAUUAGUUCCUCGUUUGGACGAGGGUUCGAACCCCUCCAGCUCCACA